CAGGGAGCAGUUUGAGAAAAUAUUAGUUUUGGAGACUAAAGAGGGAGCUUAGGCUUCAUCCCUGA
rnacentral:tRNA from 1 species